CAAAACUGAUUGUGGGCCGCAGAUGGCCCGCGGGCCGUAGUUUGGACACGCCUGGGUUAGGCUCUCUACGACUGAGUUUGGAGAUCCCUGUUUUAACCCAUAUUUGUUAUUCCAUAUUCGACCUAACACUGAGUUACAGCAACCCAGCAUUAGUUUAAAAUUUAUUUUCGUGCAUUUUUUGGCAGCUUUUCAGCAACAUUAUCAUGCGACACAUCACCAAUUUGUAAAUAUGCAUUAAACGUUCAUUUGAACAACAAAUGAGGCUCUUAAAAUGAGCUCUGUUACCAUAACAAAGAUGAACUCUAAAAAUUACUGGGAUGUUGUAACCCAUCGUUGGCUCAAAUAUGGACAAAACCAACUUUGGGUUGUUUUAAAAACACUACCGUUAGAUUUGUCCAUAUCUGACCCAGCAUUUGGUUAACACAACCCAACAUUUUUUUGCAUGUUAAAUCCUGGAUGAUUUUCAUGAUGGGGUCCGAUUUUGAAGUAAUGUCGUGUGCAUGUAAAAUGGGAAGAUGAAAGGAAAUUUAUGAAAGCGACUCAUGUAAACAUGUUAGUCAUAAUAUCAUUCAGAAUGAGGUGUGUAAUUAGAUUGCUAACGUUCGUGCACUGAUUGCGAAACAGAGAGUCCCGUGAUCCGGCUGAGAAAUUCUACCCAAUAAAAUACGGAUGUGAGUCAGUGAGAAAUGCGAAAACCUUGGAAUACACUUAAUCACACUUUCUAAGCUCCGGUAGGUCUAGCCAAGAAAAUGCAUACUUUGUUCCAAUUAAAUGGCUGUUUUUCCUGCCAAAAAUACAUCUGUCAGCGUUCAUGCGUUGUAAAUCCUGCAUGAGUGUUGAUAUUGGGUCCCGCAUGAGGCUGUUCGCUCUCUUUUCUGUUUCUCAGGACAUUUUGUGCAACCUCUGCCAAACCCGCUUGACCUGAAAUAUGUAUUUGCAGUAGCCCUUGAGAUUUAGAGGUAAUGUUUCAAUAACUUCAUCUUGUGUGUGUGUGAGUGAGUGUGCUCAUUAUUGUUUUAGUUCAUCCUUAAUCAUUUCAAUAGUUUUCAUUUUAUUUUUAUUAUUAAAUAAACUACUUUCUCUUUAUAUCAAUGUACUGUAUGAUUUCCAGUUUGGGAAUCUCUUGUUUUUAUUAUUAAUUUGAUUAUAUGUAUUUAAAAUUUGCUAUGUAUGUAAACAAUGGCAGCUGUAUGGGACGGGAUCAUUCGCAUAUCUAGCAGAUAUAUAAGGUUUUCAUAACAUUGUAACGAACAAACGUUACAUGCUUUAAUUGUUGUUUUAGUUUCUUGUGAUGCGAAAAGCACUGGUUGCAAUAUUACUACAGGCCACUAGGUUGCACUAGAGGGGAGUGAGAACUGGAUAUAUUCCAGCUCACCAUAGAGCAAGUGAGUCGUGUUUGGUAGAGGGAACCACAUGGGGAACUGAGGCUACCGACCCACUCCGGUUCUGAUGGUUUUGAGAACAUUAUUGUUGCUACUCAAAUACAGGACCUGUUGUCCUAGAGAUGUUCAGAUGAGGUGUUUGUUGGUGCUUUCAAUGGACUGCAAUGAUUUAGUUUCAACGUUCUUUAUGCUUCUCAAUGGCAAAUGAACUAUAUGUAUACACGUGUAAUGAUGGUCAGUGACUCUUAAAUUCCUCCAUACUACCGGUUUCCCAGUGUGAGGAAGUGGAUCUUAUUGCAUCGCACUCAAAUCCAUCUACGCAACAUUCACCCAACCAUCUAUAUCAUUUACACAGACUGUUUACAUUCAAUGACUGCUUGGUUUUGGAUAUUGAUUACUUUUGUUUGUGUGGACUAAAUACUGUAUACACAUGUAGAGAAAUUAAACAAGAAGGAAAAAGGGAAAAA